rnacentral:rRNA from 1 species
GGUUAAAAAGCUCGUAGUUGGAUCUCGGCGGUCUGAGGGCGGUUCGCUUGAUUGAGUGCUACUGCUCUAUAGGCCGUGGUUUUGCCAGAGGUCUCGGGGUGCUCUUAACCGAGUGUCCUGCGAUGCUGGCAGGUUUACUUUGAAAAAAUUAGAGUGCUCAAAGCAGGCUUUUACGCCUGAAUAUUCGUGCAUGGAAUAAUAGAAUAGGAAGUCGUUUCUAUUUUGUUGGUUUUCGGAAAUCGACUUAAUGAUUAAUAGGGACAGUCGGGGGCAUUUGUAUUCAAACGACAGAGGUGAAAUUCUUGGACCGUUUGAAGAUAAACUACUGCGAAAGCAUUUGCCAAGAAUGUUUUCAUUAAUCAAGAACGAAAGUUAGAGGUUCGAAGGCGAUUAGAUACCGCCCUAGUUCUAACCAUAAACGAUGCCAGCUAGCGAUCUGCCGACGUUUUCUUUGUAGACUCGGCAGGAAGCUUCCGGGAAACCAAAGCAUUUGGGUUCCAGGGG